rnacentral:rRNA from 1 species
GACGAACGCUGGCGGCGUGCUUAACACAUGCAAGUCGAACGGAAAGGCCAUGCUUUUGUGGGGUGCUCGAGUGGCGAACGGGUGAGUAACACGUGAGUAAACUGCCCUUAACUUUGGGAUAACUUCAGGGAACUGGGGCUAAUACCGGAUAGGAGCUCCUGAUGCAUGGUGGGGGUUGGAAAGUUUCGGCGGUUGGGGAUGGACUCGCGGCUUAUCAGCUUGUUGGUGGGGUAGUGGCUUACCAAGGCUUUGACGGGUAGCCGGCCUGAGAGGGUGACCGGCCACAUUGGGCCUGAGAGACGGCCCAGACUCCUACGGGAGGCAGCAGUGGGGAAUAUUGCACAAUGGGCGGAAGCCUGAUGCAGCAACGCCGCGUGCGGGAUGACGUCCUUCGGGUUGUAAACCGCUUUCGCCUGUGACGAAGCGUGAGUGACGGUAAUGGGUAAAGAAGCACCGGCUAACUACGUG